UCCUGGCUCAGGACGAACGCUGGCGGCGUGCCUAAUACAUGCAAGUCGAGCGGACAGAUGGGAGCUCGCUCCCUGAUGUUAGCGGCGGACGGGUGAGUAACACGUGGGUAACCUGCCUGUAAGACUGGGAUAACUCCGGGAAACCGGGGCUAAUACCGGAUGGUUGUUUGAACCGCAUGGUUCAAACAUAAAAGGUGGCUUCGGCUACCACUUGCAGAUGGACCCGCGGCGCAUUAGCUAGUUGGUGAGGUAAUGGCUCACCAAGGCAACGAUGCGUAGCCGACCUGAGAGGGUGAUCGGCCACACUGGGACUGAGACACGGCCCAGACUCCUACGGGAGGCAGCAGUAGGGAAUCUUCCGCAAUGGACGAAAGUCUGACGGAGCAACGCCGCGUGAGUGAUGAAGGUUUUCGGAUCGUAAAGCUCUGUUGUUAGGGAAGAACAAGUGCCGUUCGAAUAGGGCGGUACCUUGACGGUACCUAACCAGAAAGCCACGGCUAACUACGUGCCAGCAGCCGCGGUAAUACGUAGGUGGCAAGCGUUGUCCGGAAUUAUUGGGCGUAAAGGGCUCGCAGGCGGUUUCUUAAGUCUGAUGUGAAAGCCCCCGGCUCAACCGGGGAGGGUCAUUGGAAACUGGGGAACUUGAGUGCAGAAGAGGAGAGUGGAAUUCCACGUGUAGCGGUGAAAUGCGUAGAGAUGUGGAGGAACACCAGUGGCGAAGGCGACUCUCUGGUCUGUAACUGACGCUGAGGAGCGAAAGCGUGGGGAGCGAACAGGAUUAGAUACCCUGGUAGUCCACGCCGUAAACGAUGAGUGCUAAGUGUUAGGGGGUUUCCGCCCCUUAGUGCUGCAGCUAACGCAUUAAGCACUCCGCCUGGGGAGUACGGUCGCAAGACUGAAACUCAAAAGAAUUGACGGGGGCCCGCACAAGCGGUGGAGCAUGUGGUUAAUUCGAAGCAACGCGAAGAACCUUACCAGGUCUUGACAUCCUCUGACAAUCCUAGAGAUAGGACGUCCCCUUCGGGGGCAGAGUGACAGGUGGUGCAUGGUUGUCGUCAGCUCGUGUCGUGAGAUGUUGGGUUAAGUCCCGCAACGAGCGCAACCCUUGAUCUUAGUUGCCAGCAUUCAGUUGGGCACUCUAAGGUGACUGCCGGUGACAAACCGGAGGAAGGUGGGGAUGACGUCAAAUCAUCAUGCCCCUUAUGACCUGGGCUACACACGUGCUACAAUGGACAGAACAAAGGGCAGCGAAACCGCGAGGUUAAGCCAAUCCCACAAAUCUGUUCUCAGUUCGGAUCGCAGUCUGCAACUCGACUGCGUGAAGCUGGAAUCGCUAGUAAUCGCGGAUCAGCAUGCCGCGGUGAAUACGUUCCCGGGCCUUGUACACACCGCCCGUCACACCACGAGAGUUUGUAACACCCGAAGUCGGUGAGGUAACCUUUUAGGAGCCAGCCGCCGAAGGUGGGACAGAUGAU
rnacentral:rRNA from 1 species